rnacentral:rRNA from 1 species
ACUACGGGUGGCAGCAGUGAGGAAUAUUGGUCAAUGGGCGCGAGCCUGAACCAGCCAAGUCGCGUGAGGGAAGACGGUCCUAUGGAUUGUAAACCUCUUUUGUCGGGGAGCAACAGACGCCACGCGUGGCGUUCCGAGAGUACCCGAUGAAAAAGCAUCGGCUAACUCCGUGCCAGCAGCCGCGGUAAUACGGAGGAUGCGAGCGUUAUCAGGAUUUCUUGGGUUUAAAGGGGGAGCCGGCGGAUUUUUAAGUCAGCGGUCAAAUCGUGGGGCUCAACCCCAUCCAGACGUUGAAACUGGGGCUCUAGAGUGUGCGAGAGGUAUGCGGAAUGCGUGGUGUAGCGGUGAAAUGCAUAG